AGAGUUUGAUCAUGGCUCAGAACGUACGCUGGCGGCACGCCUAACACAUGCAAGUCGAACGAAGUAGCAAUACUUAGUGGCGAACGGGUGAGUAUAAUGUGGGUAUCUGCCCUUUGGUCUGGAAUAACACGGGGAAACUUGUGCUAAUACUAGAUAAGCCUUUACAGGGAAAGCUUUAGCGCCAAUGGAUGAGCUCACACUUGAUUAACUAGUUGGUGGGGUAAUGGCCUACCAAGGUUGCGAUCAAUAGCUGAUCUGAGAGGAUGAUCAGCCACAUUGGGACUGAGACACGGCCCAGACUCCUACGGGAGGCAGCAGUGGGGAAUCUUGCACAAUGGGGGAAACCCUGAUGCAGCGAUGCCGCGUGAGUGAAGAAGGCCUUUGGGUUGUAAAGCUCUUUCGUCGGGGAAGAAAAUGACUGUACCCGAAUAAGAAGGUCCGGCUAACUUCGUGCCAGCAGCCGCGGUAAUACGAAGGGACCUAGCGUAGUUCGGAAUUACUGGGCUUAAAGAGCUCGUAGGUGGUUAAGAAAGUUGGUGGUGAAAUCCCAGAGCUUAACUCUGGAACUGCCAUCAAAACUUUUUAGCUAGAGUAUGAUAGAGGAAAGUAGAAUUUCUAGUGUAGAGGUGAAAUUCGUAGAUAUUAGAAAGAAUACCAAUUGCGAAGGCAGCUUUCUGGAUCAUUACUGACACUGAGGUGCGAAAGCAUGGGUAGCGAAGAGGAUUAGAUACCCUCGUAGUCCAUGCCGUAAACGAUGUGUGCUAGACGUUGGAAAUUUAAUUUUCAGUGUCGCAGCAAAAGCAUUAAGCACACCGCCUGGGGAGUACGACCGCAAGGUUAAAACUCAAAUGAAUUGACGGGGACCCGCACAAGUAGUGGAGCAUGUGGUUUAAUUCGAAGAUACGCGCAGAACCUUACCAACACUUGACAUGUUCGUCGCGACUCUAAGAGAUUAGAGUUU
rnacentral:rRNA from 1 species